rnacentral:rRNA from 1 species
AUUGAACGCUGGCGGCAGGCCUAACACAUGCAAGUCGAACGGUAACAGGAAGAAGCUUGCUGCUUUGCUGACGAGUGGCGGACGGGUGAGUAAUGUCUGGGAAACUGCCUGAUGGAGGGGGAUAACUACUGGAAACGGUAGCUAAUACCGCAUAACGUCGCAAGACCAAAGAGGGGGACCUUCGGGCCUCUUGCCAUCGGAUGUGCCCAGAUGGGAUUAGCUAGUAGGUGGGGUAACGGCUCACCUAGGCGACGAUCCCUAGCUGGUCUGAGAGGAUGACCAGCCACACUGGAACUGAGACACGGUCCAGACUCCUACGGGAGGCAGCAGUGGGGAAUAUUGCACAAUGGGCGCAAGCCUGAUGCAGCCAUGCCGCGUGUAUGAAGAAGGCCUUCGGGUUGUAAAGUACUUUCAGCGGGGAGGAAGGGAGUAAAGUUAAUACCUUUGCUCAUUGACGUUACCCGCAGAAGAAGCACCGGCUAACUCCGUG